GUCAUACCUACAGCAGUUGUAGCUUACAAAUCUUUUACCCUUUGACCCCGAACUAAGAGCACUGGGCACCUAGUGAUGAAACCUGAAGACCUUCGGGUUUCCUCCAGAGGAUUAUGGCAUCAGGGAAUCACUAACUCUAAAGUCACGGGUUAGCACCCUCUAUUCCCCACCAAGCUGACUGACGUGGUCCAGAACAGAAGAACGAGUGCACUGCACUAUGUUGCCGCUUUACUUUGUCUACACAUCUGACACGAACAGUAUCCUAAGGCACAGUGGAACCUCACCACUAAAAGCCAGGCCCUCCUCGGAGCCCCAGCCCUGGCACACGCCGGCUGAAGCUGAUGUGCGUUCACAUGGUAACCAAAGGGCUUGAGUGGGGAAGGCACUCAGAGAAGCAGUUUGAGCCUCAUGUAUUUUUGUAGCCUUGAGCAAGUCACAGCACCCGAAAGGCUCAGUUCUGUUUCCUGGUUGUGGGACAGAGAGCACUUGUGAUCUUCUGAAGGCCUAAGGUCCUGGGCUAACAAAGAUGAGAUUGUGACCCCUAGUGGCUGUACCUACUCAUUGCACUUUACAUGUACUUUACACACUACCCUUUAGAUGUAAAAAGGGCAGAGUGAAUACACAAGAGCGUCCCUGUGCUAAAGAGCUGAAGUCUUCCAGGGAACUUAUGUGCACAUUUUGUUCUUAAGUUUUCUACUCAUGAGAACAUUGUCAGAGUCAAAAGACAUCUGUAGUGUACAACUCUUUUUAGGAUACUUUACUGUUGCUAUACCAUACGCAAACCUGAAGUCCAGGGUUGUAAACCUAUAAGUCACCGGUAAUAGAGAAAAGCCACUCAAAAAUCCCAUCUGAAACUGCUAGUUUCUGCUUCAGUAUUCAGCCAAGGGGUAGAGAGCUAGAGCGAGCCUUCAGGACCCCUGGUUAGAGGUAAGGGCUACCAGUCACGGUCCCAUCAGGAAAGGGAACCUCACUUUUCUCACCCCUUUCUAGCCUAAAUUAGAAUUCUCUCAAUGGUGCUGUGAACAGCUGUUCACAUCCUUCAGGUAGACACUACUAUACCUGUUCUGCAACACGGCUCUCUGACGCCACAUGCUGCUCAUUUUUUGGACAAAUACCUUAGUCCUCAGGGAGCCAACGCGGGCUUAGUGCAGACACUUCCCUUGCUGUGGUCUCUGCCCCAGUUCUUCUAAAUGUCCGCCCAUCACUUACUUUCUAUGGAAGGUAGGAGAGGAACUAAAGGCCCAGUAGGAAUGAUGAAAUAAAGAGGCUGAGUUCUCGUGACAACUGUGGAAUGAAUAGCAUACGGCGACUCAGAAGUUUGAGGCCCUUUUCCACACACAAGGCAAUUGCCAAUGCCCACUAGAGGUCAAUGCUGGGCGCGGACAAUGCAGGUUAUAGGCCGACCUUGAGUUUUGAGACAAGUAGAACUGUAUGUUUGCAAGUGGUCUGGUGUGGAGAGGGCCUCUGAGCUCCUCUGAGCAGAUCUGCACCGUCUGACUUUCAGGAUCUGCAUGCAUUAUAUUCAGUGUCAUGGGUUAUGACAACAGAGAGACAGGUGGUCACAGCCAAUGCUAAGAGAGUUCCUGUGAGGUCUUGCACCCGCACUAUGUAGGGAGUAUUUGAACUAGGUGAUUGGCCUAUAGCUUAGAGGCCUGCAUGUGUUGGGAGCAGAGCACAAAGGUUCUUGAACACCCAGAUCUCCAGGGAAACCACGAGGUCUCCAACGGGAGGUGUCUGGCUACAAGCUCUGCAGUCCUAAUGUGUGUCAACCUAAGAACAUGGCUGAGGGGCCUGGGAUUCAGUGUGGAGAAACGUGGCAUUUGGGAUCAUUGUUCUGGCUGAGGUUCUCACAAAGCAGCAGAGAGGCUUCCUUUCAAUUAA